GUCUAUGGCCAUACCACCCUGAACACGCCCGAUCUCGUCUGAUCUCGGAAGCUAAGCAGGGAUGGGAGGAGGAGAGAGACACAGAGACCUGUAGCCC
rnacentral:rRNA from 1 species